UAUCCGGAUUUAUUGGGUUUAAAGGGAGCGUAGGCGGGUGCUUAAGUCAGUUGUGAAAGUUUGCGGCUCAACCGUAAAAUUGCAGUUGAUACUGGGUACCUUGAGUGCAGCAUAGGUAGGCGGAAUUCGUGGUGUAGCGGUGAAAUGCUUAGAUAUCACGAAGAACUCCGAUUGCGAAGGCAGCUUACUGGACUGUAACUGACGCUGAUGCUCGAAAGUGUGGGUAUCAAACAGGAUUAGAUACCCUGGUAGUCCACGCAGUAAACGAUGAAUACUCGCUG
rnacentral:rRNA from 1 species